CCUACGGGAGGCUGCAGUGGGGAAUUUUGGACAAUGGGGGCAACCCUGAUCCAGCAAUGCCGCGUGAGUGAAGAAGGCCUUCGGGUUGUAAAGCUCUUUUGUCAGGGAAGAAACGGUGGAGGCCAAUACCCUUUGCUAAUGACGGUACCUGAAGAAUAAGCACCGGCUAACUACGUGCCAGCAGCCGCGGUAAUACGUAGGGUGCAAGCGUUAAUCGGAAUUACUGGGCGUAAAGCGUGCGCAGGCGGUUAUGUAAGUCAGAUGUGAAAUCCCCGGGCUCAACCUGGGAAUGGCAUUUGAGACUGCAUGGCUAGAGUGUGUCAGAGGGGGGUAGAAUUCCACGUGUAGCAGUGAAAUGCGUAGAUAUGUGGAGGAAUACCGAUGGCGAAGGCAGCCCCCUGGGAUAACACUGACGCUCAUGCACGAAAGCGUGGGGAGCAAACAGGAUUAGAUACCCCUGUAGUC
rnacentral:rRNA from 1 species